UCUACAGGCAUUUUUAGUGAGCACUUAAGAAUCUCAUUUUCCCUCUUUGCUUCCUUCUUCCUCACAAACUCAAUACUUAGCCAUUUCUUCAAUUGCUUGGACAACAUCAUUUCACACUGCAAGGAACACCCAAUUCUUCUAUAGGCAAAAGCUUUUCACGGCACAGAGAGAGGACCCAUUUGUGUCUACUUUUCAUGGCACAGAGAGAAGACCCAUUUGAGCCAAUAGCGACAAUCACCUUGCAGACCCAUCCCCCUCAAAAAGUCGCACAUUUACUGGACACUGCUCAACCGAAACUAGCGUUUUUCUUUUGGGUCUUCUUUUAUCAACAGUUCAGUUCAGCCUCUUUUCCUUUGUCAACUACAGUAUUUGUAGAAAUGCAGGAUUUAUGUUUUGAACCAGUCAAUGAAUGAAUGAAUUUCAACAGAGAUUUGAAAGUUCACCCGGUCUGAGGUCUGCUGGACUCUCCAGUUAUGUCUCCAGUACCUGCGCGUGGCAAAAGCGAUGCGCUAAGUAAUUCUGCUUAGUGGUGACAAUAUAAAAUAAAAUAACUAAAUAAAAUAAAUAUGCAAAAUGUUCUGGAGAGACUGACAUAGAGCCCAGUAGACCACAGACUGGGUGAGGCCGUCCAUAGUUCUGCAUAGUGUCCAUGCCACCUCACCGACUUCAGUGCAUUGGUAGGACACUACGUUUCAUUUGGGUAUUUUGUAAUUAACUUUUAUUUUCUCAUGUAUAAGUGAGACUUAUGUAAUAUAUUUUGAUAUUAAUGUAAAUAGUGAAAAUUUGUGUUUAAAAAUGAAAAAUUGAGUAUUUAUUUA